UAUUAUUGUUACUUUCUCUCCUUUAUUCUUUCAACACUAGCAAAAUAAAAUGUAUUUAAUGCAAAAUAAGCUUUUCCUCAAUGAAUGUGAGAAAGAUAAAUUAAAAAGUGACAUUAAGGAUUUUACACUUCCAGAAGAAUUAAAACAAAGACAAUCUAGUUUAAUUAUAAAUUUGGAGGUAGACAAUGCAAAAUUAACAAGCAAAGUAAUCGAAUACCGUGAAAAAUACAACAAAAAUAAAGCACAUAUUGAAGAAGUUAAAUCAAUGAUAACUAGUCAAAAUAUUAAAAAAACUAGUAGAAGAAAAUAUUGAUCUCUGUAAAACAAAGAAAGCAUUAAAAAAGCAAGUGAUAGAUUUACAAAGUUAUGCUAAAUUAUUAAGUAAUAAAUUGAGCGAAGAAUCUGCUAAAUGUGGGUCUGCUGUUUCUAAUCAACAUCAUAAUUUUCACCUAGAAUCACAUUAUUAUUAUAUAGCGUGGCAAAAAAUGUACUUAGUAAAACUAGCUCAUGGUAAAGACAAGCUAUUAAUACUUAUUAUCCCUGAGCUUGAAGAUGGCUUUCUUAAAAGUAUUAGAUUAGCAGAAACAUUAAUUACAUUGAGACACUUUCCAAUAUAAUACAGGAAGAACAAUCUACCCAACAAGAGUUGCUACAAGAAGUUAAAACAAAUAAACUAUUAAAAUCCUAGGAAAGCAGCAGGCGCGCAACGUGGAGGUAGUGACGAAAAAUGACAAUACGAGAAUCAUCCCCUGUAAUCGGAAUGAAUACACUACAUAUCUCUUAAUGAAAAUAAAGCGUAUUAAUAUAUAAGUUUUAAUAAUGAUUAGAAUAUAUAUAUAUACAUGUAAAGGGACUUAAGUACGUAAACGUAUCAUG